CCUGGAAUGUGGCUGAGGGAACCUGCUAGGGCUGCUUGGCUGAGAUGUCCAGCCAGCUGUACUUCCUCACCCAGCCCACACCGCCAUCUUGGUGCUGGAGUGGGCUUGGCGUGAGUCAGGCGGCCAUCUUGGCGCUGAGACAAGCCUGGCAGGCAGCUGAGCGCUGAGGUGACAAGGGAGGCCAGCUCGGUGCUGAGGUGGGCUUGGCGUGAGUCAGGCGGCCAUCUUGGCGCUGAGACAAGCCUGGCAGGCAGCUGAGCGCUGAGGUGACAAGGGAGGCCAGCUCGGCGCUGAGGUGGGCUUGGCGUGAGUCAGGCGGCCAUCUUGGCGCUGAGACAAGCCUGGCAGGCAGCUGAGUGCUGGGGUGACAAGGGAGGCCAGCUCGGCGCUGAGGUGGGCCCAGGGGAAGCCCACCCACUCGUGCGGUGCCCGGGCAAGGCUGGCAGGAGCCCA